AAGAGAUAAAGUUUUAUUUUAGCAUCAUUAAAUUUUAUAAAAGACGAUGCAAAGAAGAAGAAUGAAUUCUCACGUGAAUUUCCUACAGUUUUAAUUAAGUCUGGGAUUAUUGGAAUCAAAGUAAAUCAUCCAGCAUUCAAAAACUUUCUAGAAAAGUAUACCAAGCACUCAAUCCCUGACCAAAACAUUCAAGGAAGCAACUUUAUAUAUAUAUAUUGUAUAACCCAUGUCAUUAAGAAUUUAUGAAUUAGAAAAGACAAAUUCUACAACUAUUAAGCAGAGGCCUUCAAUGAUGUAAGUGCCAAACUCAGUCAUUUUGUAUGAAAAAGUUUGGUGUCUUGUAACAGACCAGGCACCAUACAUGCUAAAUGCACGCUCAAAUAUAAUUGAUGUAUCCGAAUCUGAGACGUCAUUUGUCUUGCCCAUUAUUUUAACAGGAUAUGUGAAGCAAGGCAUAAUUUUUGGAUCAAUGUUUUCAUUUUGGAAAUGAAAUUUGAUUAAAUGUCCUGCUAAUUUGCUGUACAUGUAAAAAAAAGAGGUAAGUGGAUUUCCACUCCAAAAACAACCAUAAUAACCACAUGGGUCAUAUGGAUUCAAAUGGCUUGUUUUUAUGCCGAAAAUUUCUCAUUCUUGAGAGCAUUCAUUGAUAAUCUGGACGAAAAGUCUUCAGCAGCCGCAAUGAAACUUGAGAGUCUGUUGAAAGACGAAGACGUGUUAAAGGAAUUCUACACUAUUCAUUCAUACAAGUCUAUUCUUGAGGAAAGUGGUCUGUCUAUUGAGAAGCAAUGGGAAAUAGAUGGAUUUGAUUUAGAAAAACUGGGAUACGCAAAAAGCCUGAGCAAAAAUCCGGAUAUUCAACUGUGUAGAACGACUGUGUGUUUGCAAUUGGUUGGUUGGCUGAUGGAAUAAAGCAAAGCAACGCAUGGGCCAUUUACGAAGGGGAUGCUUCCUGGUGGGACAUUCUAUGGAAAAACUGACCGAUUUAGUUGUUGGACACGUGAAAGAACCCGGAAAAUUUACGUGGCUAGCCUGUUGGUCGGCCUCAAAUCGCGAUCAGUGUUCAGUGAUGUCAUCCAUUCGGAUACUGGUGGGGAGUUUUUUCGGAUAUGAGGAUUAUUUCUUUUUCUAAAUCUGUUCUUCUGCAAUAUAUGAAAAAAUUCUGAAAUUUAAGAAAACAACUCAAAUUCGUUUCGAGAUUUACAUUAUGUACUGCUGUAAUUUUUAUUAUCUGUCCAGAAAAUAGAUCUAACUUGAAAUACUGAAGACACAAGUAUUAGUGAUACAUAUGUAUUUAUUAUAUAAUCAACACCUACGAAUGUAUGCAAGUGACGAGAAAAACGAGAUUUUUUAAAUGCAUUUUGUAACUAGGAUUUUCAAAAAAGAAAAGUUUAAGAUUGAGAAAUAAAUAAGUUUGGGCAAGACAUGAGUUAUUGUAGACUUCGUCUGUAAAAAUGGAGGUUAAAAUAUAUAAGCAAGAUAUUUCUUAGACGAUUGAUAAGCUCUUAGUUGAUGGCAGACUAAAAUUAUUUAUCCUCUCUUAUCUUAAUGAUAAUAACCUCCAAUUUAGGGAUGAUGAUCCAUUACUAAGAUCUUAAUAGGAAACUUCAUUUCUGGUUUUGGUAAAUUACUUUUUGGUAUUAUUUCAUUUGAAAUCUUAUUAUCCAAACGUAAGAUUUCUUUGUUUUAUCCUUGAGGAAGAAAGAUAAAUUCUUAUGUAAUAUAAAUCUCACGUUUAACCAAUUGUUUAAACAUUUUUCAAUUUCAAACUGUUAAUAUUCUAUCUCCAUUUUUCGUUAA